rnacentral:lncRNA from 1 species
GUUUUUACUGCCCAGAGGGCAGUGGAGGACCCACCUUGUGCCCACUUACCGUGGCAGCUGCCCCCGGAGCCAAGCAGCAAGAGGACUGUAGGCCUUGCCCCCCGGGGCGCUGGUGCAAAGCCGGUGAGGCACCUGUGCCACAGCCUGGAGUGCGCUGGUCCUGCCAAGGGCACGGGGAGGCCCUUUGGGCAGGAAGGGGAGGAUGGAAAGUGAGCACAGCCCUUGCUCUCCAGGGGACCCGGCCACCCACCCCUGCCCUGCAGGCCACUACUGCCCUGGAGGGAGUGAGACCCACCCAGGAACCCCCCAGGCCUGCCCUGAGCACACAUACCUGGCAGCAGAAGGAGGCCAGAGUCAGGCAGAAUGCCUCCCCUGCCCUGCCGGGUACCACUGCUCAUCCCCAGGUGAGAGGCUCUCUCCAGGCCAGAUGCAGAGCCCUCUAGGAAGGAGAGAUGGGAGGUCACUGGGAGGCGCUGUGGGGCAUCCCUUCUUUGCCUGCUGCUUUUGCCCCCAGGUCUCUCUUCCUUCGAAGGCCAUCCCUGUCCUCCAGGCCACUGGUGUCCAGGUGAUCAGGGUGCCUUUCUCUGCCCACCUGGAACCUUUCGGACAGAGCCAGGGGCAUCCUUAUGGGAAGACUGUGAGCUCUGUCCCCCUGGCUACUACUGCCCCGAGGCUCAGCUGAGGGGCCAGGCAACUGUGUUUCCAAUCGCCUGCAGAGCUGGAUCUGAAUGUCCUGCAGGUGCUGUGGCUGAGGUCUCAUGCAGGGCUGGCUCCUACUGUGGGCCCCAGACUGGAGUCCCCCCUCUCUGCCCUGGGGGCUAUGCCUGCCCUGCCGGCUCCUCCACCUACUCUGGCCCCGGGCAGCUUUGCGAGUUUCCCUAUUACUGCCCACCGGGCAGCACCCAUCCACUUGCAUGCCCUGGGGGCUCCGAGGCCCUGAAUGGGAGCGGUCUCAGGAUCUCCAAGGAGUCUUGCUGCCGCCUCUGUGAAGCUGGCACCUACCGCAACCGGGCCGUGGACGCCCUGCCCUGCCAGCCCUGCCCAGCCCGAUUCAGCUGCCACCAGGGGACAGAGAGUUACCACAGCCAGCCCUGCCCCGUGGGGCACUACUGUCCUGCUGGGACCCACAACCCCAGGCCCUGCCCAUCAGGAACCUUUAGAAACAGCAGCCAGGAGGGGGCAGCGGGAGAGUGCCUGCCAUGCCCCGCAGGCACCUUCAGCGCCAGGCCUGGUCAGACUGGCUGCCUCCCCUGCGGGAGCUCUGCUUUCUCCCCACCCGGUGCCUCCCACUGCACAUGUUGGGGCCUGAACAGGGUCUUCCAGAAGUCAGACGGCUCCUGCAUCUGCCAGGCACGACAUGAGUCCUCCGACGAGAGGGGCCUGCAGAGCGACGAGAGUGAUGGUGCUGAGGACUGCCAGCCCCAGGUGGCAGAGCGCUGAUCGCCUGGAGACGUUCGCCUGGCUGCCACCCGCCAGUGUGUGUCCCCUCAGCAGCACAACUGCUCCUCCUCCUGUCACCCCUUGGGUGGGGAGCUCAGCGAUGAACUGGGCAUGUGAGUGACAAAAAGCCACAGAGAACAGAAUGAAUCUACCACCUCCAGACAGGUCCUGACCGUCCCCAGAGGGCCAGUCCAGAAGGGUGUUGGCAGGACUCAGCCCUGAUGGGACAUUGAGCUGAGUGCAAGCUCCUUCCAGAAGCUCCCAUGUCAGCACUCCCCGACAGGGGCAGGGGGGUGAGGGGCCAGGCAACACCAGCCGGGGCAAGCAGCACAGGGCUGGAGAGGUGCUGGCAGCAAGGAAGAGCGAGGUCUGCACCCCGGGCUCCUCAGCCAGCUGCUGGGAGCUGACCCUGACUAGACGUCAAGCCAAGGGGGACCCUGGUUUUCUCCUGAGUUCUAGUCCUCCAGCUGACCUGUGGACUGGACGGAGUUGCCCCCAGGCAGGGGAGGCACGGGGCAGGGGAGCACUGUGCCGGGAGGUCUGCUGAAUAAAUAGGAGUCCUCCAGGCUGAGGAGCUCUCUC